CGAAGGAGUUUGAUCAAGUUCAAAACUCGUAACAUCCGGUGUCGUCGCGUGCACUAGCUAGCUGGAAGCUAAAAAACAUUAGAAAGGGAACAACCUUGAGGCUGCAUCUAUACUAACGCAAGGAGGAACGCCAACGUUGUACAGGUGUUUUUUCUCUAUUAACCCAGAGAAGGACACUAAAUUGGUGAAGACCUGCCUAUCUCGUCUUCAGGAACUUUCGGAUCAUGAGUGGCAUGAACUGUGAACAUGCACUUAACAAAGUUAGACAUACAGAUGCAUAUAGAAGCAAAACCCUUUAAAUGGUGCUUAAGGUAGGAGUGCUGUGUUUUUCAUUUUUCCUGCCCUCAUUUUUUCUGCUCCAACAAUCACUUGUCUGUCAAAUGCUGUCUAUUCUAAUGGUUGUAAGGUGCAUAGGUGUUUUGUUCAAUUCCUUGAGGUUUUUUUUUCUUCUCUCCUUUUUGGGAGGAAAGACAGUUUUUAUAUUCACUAGUACGACUGAAAGUGUUGUCUACUGUUUUGUUGUAUGUCUAACAUGUUAGAAGGAAGUGCAGUUUAGAUUUGUCUAAGAAAUGUUCAAGCUGUAUGAUUCAAAGGAAUGUUUUUUUUAAAAGGUAUUAGCCUACUUUUAGGCAGUUUUUCAGUUCAUUUUUGAGAUUUAAAUUAAAAGGAUGUUAUGUCUUUAAAUUGUGAAUUUUAUGUUAUACCCAAAUGUUUGAAGUAAUCUAAAGUACAUAUUACAGUUGUGUAUUUGAUGAAGACAGAAUAUUACUUUGAUGUUAAUAAAUCUUU